GCCUGGGUGGCUCAGUCAGUUGAGCGUCUGACUUCAGUUCACGUCAUGAUCUCACAGUUUGUGAGUUCAAGCCCCACGUCAGGCU
rnacentral:tRNA from 1 species